rnacentral:lncRNA from 1 species
GAACGAUCUGCAUAAAAGAAAAGCAAAGAAAAGGAAUCAGAAUCUCACCUGACAUGUUUCCGGCCUCCCUCUCUGAUGAGUAAUUCUCUAACCAUAGCAUUUUCACACUUCCUGGUUACCAAAUUGUAGAAUCCAGAUAGAGAAAUCCAAGCCCUAAGGUUAUAGGCGUUGAUUCCUCAUGAUCUCCAUUUAAUUUGCUUUAAACUACCUAGGGUUCUUCAGGUGUUUGCCUUUGAUUCAGCUUAUCCAUUAAG